UGAGGCUUAGUUACCAUAUCUGACAACC
rnacentral:piRNA from 1 species